UGGCAGUCAGAGGCGAUGAAGGACGUGCUAAUCUGCGAUAAGCGUCGGUAAGGUGAUAUGAACCGUUAUAACCGGCGAUUUCCGAAUGGGGAAACCCAGUGUGAUUCGUCACACUAUCAUUAACUGAAUCCAUAGGUUAAUGAGGCGAACCGGGGGAACUGAAACAUCUAAGUACCCCGAGGAAAAGAAAUCAACCGAGAUUCCCCCAGUAGCGGCGAGCGAACGGGGAGCAGCCCAGAGCCUGAAUCAGUGUGUGUGUUAGUGGAAGCGUCUGGAAAGGCGUGCGAUACAGGGUGACAGCCCCGUACACAAAAAUGCACAUACUGUGAGCUCGAUGAGUAGGGCGGGACACGUGGUAUCCUGUCUGAAUAUGGGGGGACCAUCCUCCAAGGCUAAAUACUCCUGACUGACCGAUAGUGAACCAGUACCGUGAGGGAAAGGCGAAAAGAACCCCGGCGAGGGGAGUGAAAAAGAACCUGAAACCGUGUACGUACAAGCAGUGGGAGCACGCUUAGGCGUGUGACUGCGUACCUUUUGUAUAAUGGGUCAGCGACUUAUAUUCUGUAGCAAGGUUAACCGAAUAGGGGAGCCGAAGGGAAACCGAGUCUUAACUGGGCGUUAAGUUGCAGGGUAUAGACCCGAAACCCGGUGAUCUAGCCAUGGGCAGGUUGAAGGUUGGGUAACACUAACUGGAGGACCGAACCGACUAAUGUUGAAAAAUUAGCGGAUGACUUGUGGCUGGGGGUGAAAGGCCAAUCAAACCGGGAGAUAGCUGGUUCUCCCCGAAAGCUAUUUAGGUAGCGCCUCGUGAAUUCAUCUCCGGGGGUAGAGCACUGUUUCGGCAAGGGGGUCAUCCCGACUUACCAACCCGAUGCAAACUGCGAAUACCGGAGAAUGUUAUCACGGGAGACACACGGCGGGUGCUAACGUCCGUCGUGAAGAGGGAAACAACCCAGACCGCCAGCUAAGGUCCCAAAGUCAUGGUUAAGUGGGAAACGAUGUGGGAAGGCCCAGACAGCCAGGAUGUUGGCUUAGAAGCAGCCAUCAUUUAAAGAAAGCGUAAUAGCUCACUGGUCGAGUCGGCCUGCGCGGAAGAUGUAACGGGGCUAAACCAUGCACCGAAGCUGCGGCAGCGACGCUUAUGCGUUGUUGGGUAGGGGAGCGUUCUGUAAGCCUGUGAAGGUGUGCUGUGAGGUAUGCUGGAGGUAUCAGAAGUGCGAAUGCUGACAUAAGUAACGAUAAAGCGGGUGAAAAGCCCGCUCGCCGGAAGACCAAGGGUUCCUGUCCAACGUUAAUCGGGGCAGGGUGAGUCGACCCCUAAGGCGAGGCCGAAAGGCGUAGUCGAUGGGAAACAGGUUAAUAUUCCUGUACUUGGUGUUACUGCGAAGGGGGGACGGAGAAGGCUAUGUUGGCCGGGCGACGGUUGUCCCGGUUUAAGCGUGUAGGCUGGUUUUCCAGGCAAAUCCGGAAAAUCAAGGCCGAGGCGUGAUGACGAGGCACUACGGUGCUGAAGCAACAAAUGCCCUGCUUCCAGGAAAAGCCUCUAAGCAUCAGGUAACAUCAAAUCGUACCCCAAACCGACACAGGUGGUCAGGUAGAGAAUACCAAGGCGCUUGAGAGAACUCGGGUGAAGGAACUAGGCAAAAUGGUGCCGUAACUUCGGGAGAAGGCACGCUGAUACGUAGGUGAAGCGACUUGCUCGUGGAGCUGAAAUCAGUCGAAGAUACCAGCUGGCUGCAACUGUUUAUUAAAAACACAGCACUGUGCAAACACGAAAGUGGACGUAUACGGUGUGACGCCUGCCCGGUGCCGGAAGGUUAAUUGAUGGGGUUAGCGCAAGCGAAGCUCUUGAUCGAAGCCCCGGUAAACGGCGGCCGUAACUAUAACGGUCCUAAGGUAGCGAAAUUCCUUGUCGGGUAAGUUCCGACCUGCACGAAUGGCGUAAUGAUGGCCAGGCUGUCUCCACCCGAGACUCAGUGAAAUUGAACUCGCUGUGAAGAUGCAGUGUACCCGCGGCAAGACGGAAAGACCCCGUGAACCUUUACUAUAGCUUGACACUGAACAUUGAGCCUUGAUGUGUAGGAUAGGUGGGAGGCUUUGAAGUGUGGACGCCAGUCUGCAUGGAGCCGACCUUGAAAUACCACCCUUUAAUGUUUGAUGUUCUAACGUGGACCCGUGAUCCGGGUUGCGGACAGUGUCUGGUGGGUAGUUUGACUGGGGCGGUCUCCUCCUAAAGAGUAACGGAGGAGCACGAAGGUUGGCUAAUCCUGGUCGGACAUCAGGAGGUUAGUGCAAUGGCAUAAGCCAGCUUGACUGCGAGCGUGACGGCGCGAGCAGGUGCGAAAGCAGGUCAUAGUGAUCCGGUGGUUCUGAAUGGAAGGGCCAUCGCUCAACGGAUAAAAGGUACUCCGGGGAUAACAGGCUGAUACCGCCCAAGAGUUCAUAUCGACGGCGGUGUUUGGCACCUCGAUGUCGGCUCAUCACAUCCUGGGGCUGAAGUAGGUCCCAAGGGUAUGGCUGUUCGCCAUUUAAAGUGGUACGCGAGCUGGGUUUAGAACGUCGUGAGACAGUUCGGUCCCUAUCUGCCGUGGGCGCUGGAGAACUGAGGGGGGCUGCUCCUAGUACGAGAGGACCGGAGUGGACGCAUCACUGGUGUUCGGGUUGUCAUGCCAAUGGCACUGCCCGGUAGCUAAAUGCGGAAGAGAUAAGUGCUGAAAGCAUCUAAGCACGAAACUUGCCCCGAGAUGAGUUCUCCCUGACCCUUUAAGGGUCCUGAAGGAACGUUGAAGACGACGACGUUGAUAGGCCGGGUGUGUAAGCGCAGCGAUGCGUUGAGCUAACCGGUACUAAUGAACCGUGAGGCUUAACCUUACAACGCCGAAG
rnacentral:rRNA from 3 species